CCACACACGCACACAAGCCCAUCUGUGUCUGUAUAUAUAAACGCCUCUCCUUACUCUACCAACACACACCUUCAUUUCUUCAGCAUCACCGUACUCUGUUUUCACUCUCUGUCCUCCUUUCAGUUUCUUGGUUUCUGGGAUUUUGUUUUUUUCUGGCGCAAUUUGAGAGAUUAUGGGUGGGGCGAUUUUGCCAGAUCUUGGAGCGGAAAUUCUGAUUCCGGUAUGUGCGAUUAUCGGAAUUGGGUUCUCGUUGAUUCAGUGGUUGCUUGUUUCGAAAGUGAAGCUGGUCCCUGGUGGUAGAGAUGCGGCGGGAAAUAAUAGUGUAGGGAAGAAUGGGUACAGUGACUAUCUUAUUGAAGAGGAGGAGGGUCUCAAUGACCAUAACGUCGUCCUUAAAUGCGCCGACAUUCAAAGUGCCAUAUCUGAAGGGGCAACUUCCUUCCUUUUCACUGAAUAUCAGUAUGUUGGAAUUUUCAUGCUUGCUUUUGCAAUCCUUAUUUUCCUAUUCCUCGGCUCUGUUGAGGGAUUCAGCACCAAGACUCAACCUUGCACCUAUGACCCAUUGAAGACAUGCAAGCCUGCCCUAGCAACUGCUGUCUUCAGCACGGUGUCCUUCUUGCUUGGUGCUUUCACUUCUGUAGUUUCUGGCUUCCUUGGGAUGAAAAUUGCUACAUAUGCAAAUGCUAGAACCACCCUUGAGGCAAGAAAAGGAGUUGGGAAGGCUUUUAUCACUGCAUUCAGGUCUGGUGCUGUCAUGGGUUUUCUCCUUGCUGCAAAUGGUCUGUUGGUGCUUUUCAUUGCUAUCAACCUCUUUAAACUGUACUAUGGUGAUGACUGGGCUGGUCUUUUUGAGGCUAUAACUGGUUAUGGUCUUGGAGGAUCUUCCAUGGCCCUCUUUGGCAGAGUGGGGGGAGGUAUCUACACCAAAGCUGCUGAUGUUGGUGCUGAUCUUGUUGGCAAGGUAGAAAGGAACAUUCCUGAGGAUGACCCGAGGAAUCCAGCUGUGAUUGCUGAUAAUGUUGGUGAUAAUGUUGGGGAUAUAGCUGGUAUGGGAUCGGACCUUUUUGGCUCAUACGCAGAGUCUUCUUGUGCUGCCUUAGUUGUUGCUUCCAUUUCCUCUUUUGGAAUUAAUCAUGAAUUGACUUCAAUGCUAUACCCUCUUAUAAUCAGUUCUGUGGGUAUCCUUGUUUGUUUGCUCACCACCUUGUUUGCAACUGAUUUCUUUGAGAUCAAGGCUGUAAAGGAAAUUGAGCCAGCUUUGAAAAAGCAGCUCAUCAUUUCAACUGUUCUUAUGACUGUUGGAAUUGCCAUUGUUAGUUGGAUUGCUCUACCAUCUUCCUUCACCAUCUUCAAUUUCGGGACUCAGAAAGUUGUUAAGAACUGGCAACUUUUCUUGUGUGUUGCUGUUGGUCUCUGGGCUGGGCUGAUUAUUGGAUUUGUAACUGAGUACUUCACUAGCAAUGCAUACAGCCCUGUUCAAGAUGUUGCUGAUUCCUGCCGAACUGGAGCUGCCACUAAUGUUAUUUUUGGGCUUGCUUUGGGAUAUAAAUCUGUCAUUAUCCCAAUUUUUGCCAUUGCAGUCAGCAUUUUUGUCAGUUUCAGCUUUGCUGCUAUGUAUGGUAUUGCAGUAGCUGCCCUUGGAAUGCUGAGCACCAUCGCCACUGGAUUGGCAAUUGAUGCAUAUGGUCCCAUUAGUGAUAAUGCUGGAGGUAUUGCUGAGAUGGCAGGCAUGAGCCACAGAAUCCGUGAGAGGACUGAUGCCCUUGAUGCUGCAGGAAACACCACUGCUGCUAUUGGAAAGGGUUUUGCCAUUGGUUCUGCAGCUCUUGUGUCCCUUUCCCUCUUUGGUGCCUUUGUUAGCCGUGCUUCAAUUUCAAAAGUAGAUGUGUUGACACCAAAAGUUUUUAUUGGUUUGAUUGUUGGUGCAAUGCUUCCCUACUGGUUUUCUGCUAUGACAAUGAAGAGUGUGGGGAGUGCAGCCCUGAAGAUGGUUGAGGAGGUCCGUAGGCAAUUCAACACCAUCCCUGGUCUGAUUGAGGGCACUGCCAAGCCAGACUAUGCUACCUGUGUUAAGAUCUCCACUGAUGCUUCCAUCAAAGAGAUGAUCCCACCUGGUGCGCUUGUCAUGCUCACCCCCCUCAUUGUUGGGAUCUUUUUGGGUGUGGAAACUCUCUCUGGUGUUCUAGCUGGAGCACUCGUAUCUGGUGUUCAGAUUGCCAUCUCUGCAUCCAACACUGGUGGUGCUUGGGAUAAUGCCAAGAAGUACAUUGAGGCUGGCGCUUCUGAACAUGCAAGAGCUCUUGGUCCUAAAGGGUCAGAUCCACACAAAGCAGCUGUUAUUGGUGACACCAUCGGGGAUCCAUUGAAGGACACAUCUGGGCCAUCACUCAACAUCCUUAUCAAACUUAUGGCAGUUGAAUCACUUGUGUUUGCUCCAUUCUUUGCUACACAUGGAGGGCUACUCUUCAAGAUAUUUUAAGUGGGGACGAGAAGCAAACAUAAAAUGGUCCACCUAGUCAUCACGUCUGUUGUAUCUUGGAUUCUUGGUUUCUGCAAUUCUUACCCUGUUUUCUUGUUCUUCUGAGGGAUACACCUUGGAUAUAUUCUCUUUUUGCGGAAACUUGGAGAAUCCAGCUAAAUACAAUCAACUUGUGAGGAAAAGAUAUUAUAAUCAGUGCUCAAACAUUGUAUAUGUCACUGUAGCCAAGAAACUUUCUCCAGCUUGUUGAAGAAUCCAAUAGUGUUAAUGAGACAUGUUUCUGGAUAUAGUUCAUGAUGUGCAUUGAUGACAGAGAAUGAUGUGGCCAAAGCUGAAAGCUCUUGAAGGACAUGAGGAAGUUCAUGCAUGUAAAUAUAUGUUAGUGUGAGUAGGGGUGUUCAGUUCUGGUUCGGUUUGGGAUUUGUCUAGAAAUCAGAAUCGAAUCAAAAUUUCGGUA